UACGUAGGGUGCAAGCGUUGUCCGGAAUUAUUGGGCGUAAAGAGCUCGUAGGCGGCUUGGUAAGUCGGGUGUGAAACCUCCAGGCUCAACCUGGAGACGCCACUCGAUACUGCCAUGGCUAGAGUCCGGUAGGGGCCCACGGAAUUCCUGGUGUAGCGGUGAAAUGACGCAGAUAUCAGGAGGAACACCGGUGGCGAAGGCGGUUCUCUGGGCAUUACCUGACGCUGAGGAGCGAAAGUGUGGGGAGCGAACAGG
rnacentral:rRNA from 1 species